rnacentral:rRNA from 1 species
GAAGGUGAUUCUAGGUUGAAAUUUAUUGUUUAAGUGAUUAAAUGGUUAAGUAUUAAAUUAGAAACAGAGUAUAAAUUGUUAAACUGAAAAGGGUUAAGUAUUUAAUGGGUGAAAGAUGAUUUAAAACGUUGUACCUUUUGUAUCAGGGCUUAUUAAAUUAGUAACUGAAUAAGUAUUCUCGAGGUGAUAGGGGCUAUUAUGUAUAGGUAUUGUUUUCGUGGCAGUGAAAUUUGGUAGUAUAUGAUAGAAAUGAAAUAUUAAUCGGCUAUUAGGAUAUCUGGUUAUUCAUGAAAUAGUAAAUACUAGUGGUGUUAAAAUUUAUAAGAUUAGUUAUAAAUUGUAAUAGGUUUGGUGAAAAAGGAGACAUAGAUUGCUUUAAAGGUAAGCAUAAGUUAGUGUGUUAUUACAAGUGUCUAUAAAUGUGGGGAUUAAGAUUCAAACUAGUGUGUAGUGAAUUAUUUUAUAUAAUAAAAGAGUAGAAAUUAUAAUGAUGAGAUGAGUAUAUAUUGUAUAGAGUGUAAAUAAAUAUAAUUAUUAAAAAUAGGGUGAGUAAAGUUAUUAGUAAAUAACUCGGCAAUAAAGUUCUAAAAUGUUUAACAAAAACAUUUCCUUUUAUGUGAAAGGUAGAUUCUGCCCGGUGUUGAAGUAAACGGCUGCGGUAUUCUGACCGUACGAAGGUAGCAAAAUAAAUAGUCUUUUAAUUGGGGACUGGAAUGAAAGAUUUAAUUAGGAACUUGCUUUUUUACUAGUAGGAAUAGAAUUUGAUUAAUAAGUUAAAAGGCUUAUAUGCGUUAAAGUGACAAGAAGACCCUAAGAGUUUUACAGAUUAUAUUGUUUGAGGCAGUUAGAUGUAAAUGUCUUAUUUAGUAAAUUUUGUUUGACUGGGGCGGUUAAAAUUUUAUCUAUUUUGUUGGGGACUAAAAUAAUAGGGGUAAGUGAAUUAUUAUCCUUUUUGGAAAGCAAGAUAAAUUACCUUAGGGAUAACAGCAUAAUCUUUUUUGAGAGACCGUAUUGACAGAAAGGUUUGUGACCUCGAUGUUGGAUUUGAAUAACUUUUUGGAGCAGCAUUUUUACAAGUUGGUCUGUUCGACCAUUAAAUUUCAACAUGAUCUGAGUUCAGACCGGCGUGAGCCAGGUCAGAUUAUAUCUUUUAAUUUUAUAGUUUGGUUUUGUACGCAAGGACUUAUUAAACUGGAAUGUUCAUUUGAUUAGAA